CGAGAUCCUGACCUCAGGUGAUUUGCGAACCCCAAAGUUCUGGGAUUACAGGCCUUGUUUUUUUCUCUUUUGAGCGGAGUCUUACUCUGUCGCCCAGGCUAGAGUGCAGUGGUGUGAUCGUGGCUCACUGCAACCCCUGCCUCCUGUGUUAAAGCAAUUCUCCUGCCUCAGCCUCCCGAGUAGCUGGGAUUACAGGCAUGUGCCACCAUGCCCAGCCCCGGCUAAUUUUGUAUUUAUAGUAGAGACGGGGUUUCUCCAUGUUGGUCAGGCUGAUCUCGAACUCCCGACCUCAGCCUCCCAAAGUGCUGGGAUUACAGGCGUGAGCCACUGUGCCUGACUGUUUUUCUACAUUCACAAUCUGUUCUUCCUCCUGUUUUCUGGCUCAACUAAUGGUUCUACCUCCACUGAGCUGGUUAAGCUGGAAACUUCAAAGGCAGCCUUAAUUCCUCCAGCAACAAUCCCCGCUCCCACUCCAUCUAAUCAGGUCCCACAUCCCUGCGAUUCUUUCUUGCAAGUAGCUUCCAAUCUAUGUCUUAUUGACUAUUCCUUCCCUGGAUAAGACUUUCGACAACAGCCUCUGCCUUCAGUCUCUUCCUGUCCAAUUCAUCCUAUACACAUCUAAUUGUGAC
rnacentral:lncRNA from 1 species